AUAGGCGUUAGAAAUUGUAAAUCGGCGCAAUAUAGUACCGCAAGGGAAAGAUGAAAAAUUGCAACCAAGCAUAAUACAGCAAGGACUAAUCCCUGUACCUUCUGCAUAAUGAAUUAACUAGAAAUAACUUUGCAAAGAGAACCAAAGCUAAGACCCCCGAAACCAGACGAGCUACCUAAGAACAGCUAAAAGAGCACACCCGUCUAUGUAGCAAAAUAGUGGGAAGAUUCAUAGGUAGAGGCGACAAACCUACCGAGUCUGGUGAUAGCUGGUUGUCCAAGACAAUCUUAGUUCAACUUUAAAUUUACCCACAGAACCCUCCAAAUCCCCCUGUAAAUUUAACUGUUAGUCCAAAGAGGAACAGCUCUUUGGACACUAGGAAAAAAACUUGUAAAGAGAGUAAAAAAUUUAAUACCCAUAGUAGGCCUAAAAGCAGCCACCAAUUAAGAAAGCGUUCAAGCUCGACACCUGUCAUCUAAAAAAUCCCAAACACAUAACUGAACUCCUUGCACCCAAUUGGACCCAUCUAUUACCCUAUAGAAGAGCUAAUGUUAGUGUAAGUAACAUGAAAACAUUCUCCUCCGCAUAAGCCUACAUCAGACCAAAAUAUCAAACUGACAAUUAACAGCCCAAUAUCUAUAACCGACCAACAAGCCAUUAUUACCCCCACUGUUAACCCAACACAGGCAUGCCUACAAGGAAAGGUUAAAAAAAGUAAAAGGAACUCGGCAAAUCUUACCCCACCUGCUUACCAAAAACAUCACCUCUAGCAUUCUCAGUAUUAGAGGCACCGCCUGCCCAGUGACAUGCGCUUAACGGCCGCGGUACCCUAACCGUGCAAAGGUAGCAUAAUCACUUGUUCCUUAAAUAGGGACUUGUAUGAAUGGCUCCACGAGGGUUCAGCUGUCUCUUACUUUCAACCAGUGAAAUUGACCUGCCCGUGAAGAGGCGGGCAUAGUAUAACAAGACGAGAAGACCCUAUGGAGCUUUAAUUCAUUAAUGCAAACAACACUUAACAAGCCCACAGGCCCUAAACUAUCAAACCUGCAUUAAAAAUUUCGGUUGGGGCGACCUCGGAGCACAAUCCAACCUCCGAGCAACACAUGCCGAGACUUCACCAGUCAAAGCGAAUUACCACGUUUAAUUGAUCCAAUAACUUGACCAACGGAACAAGUUACCCUAGGGAUAACAGCGCAAUCCUAUUCUAGAGUCCAUAUCAACAAGGUGUUAGCUGGACAGACUAAAAUAAUACCCCGGGAAAAGGAAAGGAACAUGUAUAG
rnacentral:ncRNA from 1 species